GCUGGGAUAGCUCCGUUGGUAGAGCACAAGACUCUCGAAUCUCAGGGCUGUGGGUUUGAAUCCCGUGUUGGGCA